rnacentral:lncRNA from 1 species
CUAUUUUCGUGUCGUUUUAUAGAAUUAGUGUGUUGCGCAAAACCAAAUUUCUGCUGGAAUGCACAUAUUUAUCACUUACGGUAAUUAAAAUCGUAGAAAGUGGAAGGCAGUUUUCCUAUCGUCAGUUUCAUCAAAAGCUAGUCCGCCAGGCUACGUUCCAUCGACGUCAUCUUAUUGAGCCGAUUAAUUAUAAUUGGCACUCAGAGCUCAGUGACUUUUUCAAUUCUGUUGCGUGAAAACUGUGAGAAAAAUAAGAUGCUGCUGGUUGUCUCAGUGAGAAAACUUGAGAAAAAUGGCUGCUGAGGAGGGCGAUAAUGGUCGAAAUUUUGAUGAGGGUGUGAAAGAUAAUGGGAAGGUUUCGUUUGCUGAUGCUGGAAGCAGGGAGUUUCCGAUCAGCGUCCACUUGGAGGAUGAGGUUUUUGAGCCCAAUGAG